rnacentral:rRNA from 1 species
GGGAAUAUUGCACAAUGGGGGAAACCCUGAUGCAGCGACGCCGCGUGAGUGAAGAAGCGCCUCGGCGCGUAAAGCUCUGUCAGCAGGAACGACGAUGACGGUACCUGAAGAAGAAGCCCCGGCUAACUACGUGCCAGCAGCCGCGGUAAUACGUAGGGGGCAAGCGUUAUCCGGAAUUACUGGGUGUAAAGGGAGAGUAGGCGGCAAGGUAAGCGAUAUGUGAAAGCCUUAGGCUUAACCUGAGGAUUGCAUAACGAACUAUCUAGCUAGAGUACAGGAGAGGAAAGCGGAAUUCCUAGUGUAGCGGUGAAAUGCGUAGAUAUUAGGAAGAACACCAGUGGCGAAGGCGGCUUUCUGGACUGAAACUGACGCUGAGGCUCGAAAGCGUGGGGAGCGAACAG